AGAGUUUGAUCCUGGCUCAGGAUGAAUGCUGGCGGCGUGCCUAACACAUGCAAGUCGAGCGGCAGCGAAGGGUGCUUGCACCCUGUCGGCGAGCGGCGGACGGCUGAGUAACGCGUGGGAAUCUACCCUAAAGUGAGGGAUAACCGCCCGAAAGGGUGGCUAAUACCGCAUAUGAUCUUCGGAUUAAAGGAUUUAUCCGCUUUAGGAAGGGCCCGCGUUAGAUUAGGUAGUUGGUAGGGUAAUGGCCUACCAAGCCAACGAUCUAUAGCUGGUCUGAGAGGAUGAUCAGCCAGACUGGAACUGAGACACGGUCCAGACUCCUACGGGAGGCAGCAGUGAGGAAUCUUCCACAAUGGGCGAAAGCCUGAUGGAGCAACGCCGCGUGAAGGAUGAAGGCCUUCGGGUUGUAAACUUCUUUUAUGAGUGAAGAAUAUGACGGUAACUCAUGAAUAAGCACCCGGCUAACUACGUGCCAGCAGCCGCGGUCAUACGUAGGGUGCAAGCAUUAUCCGGAGUGACUGGGCGUAUAGAGUUGCGUAGGCGGUUUAAUAAGUGAAUAGUGAAACCUGGUGGCUCAACCCAUACAGACUAUUAUUCAAACUGUUAAACUCGAGAGUGGUAGAAGGUAACUGGAAUUUCUAGUGUAGGAGUGAAAUCCGUAGAUAUUAGAAGGAACACCAAUGGCGUAGGCAGGUUACUGGACCAUUUCUGACGCUAAGGCACGAAAGCGUGGGGAGCGAACUGGAUUAGAUACCCAGGUAGUCCACGCCGUAAACGAUGGAUACUAGCUGUUGGAGGUAUCGACCCCUUCAGUAGCGAAGCUAACGCGUUAAGUAUCCCGCCUGUGGAGUACGGCCGCAAGGCUAAAACAUAAAGGAAUUGACGGGGACCCGCACAAGCGGUGGAUCGUGUUCUUUAAUUCGAUGCUAAACGAAGAACCUUACCAGGGCUUGACAUCCAGGGAAUUUUUGGGAAACCAAUUAGUGCCGUUUGGAACCCUGUGACAGGUGAUGCAUGGCCGUCGUCAGCUCGUGUCGUGAGAUGUUUGGUUAAGUCCAUCAACGAGCGCAACCCUUAUCUUAUGUUGCCAGCACGUAAAGGUGGGAACUCAUGAGAGACUGCCGCAGACAAUGCGGAGGAAGGCGGGGAUGACGUCAAAUCAUCAUGCCCCUUAUGACCUGGGCUACACACGUACUACAAUGGGAGUUAAUAGACGGAAGCGAGAUCGCGAGAUGGAGCAAACCCGAGAAACACUCUCUCAGUUCGGAUCGUAGGCUGCAACUCGCCUACGUGAAGUCGGAAUCGCUAGUAAUCGCAGGUCAGCAUACUGCGGUGAAUACGUUCCCGGGCCUUGUACACACCGCCCGUCACACCACGAAAGUCGGAAGUGCCCAAAGCCGGUGGGGUAACCUUCGGGAGCCAGCCGUCUAAGGUAAAGUCGAUGAUUGGGGUGAAGUCGUAACAAGGUAACC
rnacentral:rRNA from 1 species